CUGGUAGCCAUGGAGGGUCCUGAGUGCACUUGCAGGGGCUGCCUGGGGGGUGCUGGGCAUCCUGUGCAACCAGGCUGGUGGGGAUGGAGACCCUGGACCCAUGCUGCUCCCUCACUCCACCCUCCCACCCCAUCUAUCAAAAACGCAUAUUCAAACUCAGAUCCACCUUGGUGACAGCAUUUCAAAUGGUUUGAACUGGGGUCAAUGGGCUCCUCUUUCAGGUAGGCAUCUGGUGUCCACCUAGGGAGCCAGUUACUCGUGCCUCGGGUGAAGGGAAACUGGGCAGGGAAAUUCGCAGGGAGUGUCUUCCAGCCACAGAGGCAGAAGCCAAGGCAGUGGCAGGCACUGCAGCUCCCAGGAUUAUGGCUCCCAGGAUUACGGCUCCCAGGAUUAUAGCUCCCAGGAUCACGGCUCCCAGGAUCACGGCUCCCAGGAUUACGGCUCCCAGGAUUACGGCUCCCAGGAUCACGUGUGUGGAAUGGGCCAGCAAGUGAGACGGGCCUGCAAAAUGGCACGGCUGGAAUCUGCAGGUGGAGACGACUCCAGACUGGGUGCAUGGUGCCUCCGUUACCUUCAACAGUCCACGGGGACAUGCCAGCGUCCCUGCUUCCUGCCCUGGGGCUUCAGAUGGCUGUUGGGUCACUCAAGCAGAAACUAGAAACCUCUGUGCGACUCAACCAAACAUGGUCUAAAUACAACGUUGGUAAAAACAUUCCAUUUCUCUGAACAUUAAGGCCGUUUCUCAUAACGAAAUCAGAGCCCUACGUACAUGAUCGUUGAUGUCAUAUUGCAAAGUACAAUCCAUUAAACGUGGUGCAUGUUGGCAUUUAGGGCUCAAAGGGGAAGUAGUGUGAAAAGAGAACUGCCGGCCGGGCACGGUGGCUCAAGCCUGUAAUCCCAGCACUUUGGGAGGCCGAGGCGGGCGGAUCACAAGGUCAGGAGAUCGAGACCAUCCUGGCUAACACGGUGAAACCACGUCUCUACUAAAAAAUACAAAAAACUAGCCGGGCGAGAUGGCGGGCGCCUGUAGUCCCAGCUACUCGGGAGGCUGAGGCAGGAGAAUGGCGUGAACCCGGGAGGUGGAGCUUGCAGUGAGCUGAGAUCACGCCACCGCACUCCAGCCUGGGGGACAGAGCAAGACUCGUCUCAAAAAAAAAAAAAAGAAAAGAGAACUGCCCUAAGAAAUGAAACUCUUGCUCCAGUCCUGGCUCUGAAAUGCUCCCUGAGACCCUCAGCUAGUCGUUUCACUCGGGGUGAUCAAUUCCAAGAUGAGGAGGAUAAUUUCUAGACUCCCCCAACAAUGCAGCCUCAGAGUGUGACGGUAACCCUGAAAGCUGUAAAACUCGAAUCUGAGAUUCAGGAUAUGGACAUGGAACAAUGGACCAGAAUGCCCAUUAUUCUACGGAAUUCUAAGAAAUGCCCAGAAUCCUGAAAAAAGACAUCUUCGACUUGGGAAGAAUGAUGAGCUUAUCAAUCAGUGAUUUGGGGACAACUAGAUAUCCAUUUGGAAAGUAUAAAAUAAAAUUUCUUUCUUAUCCUUCACACAAAAAUAAAUCUAAAUAUCAAAAAAAAAUACUAAAAAAUAAGGGGAAUUACAUUUAAUAUUAGAGACAAGGCCUUUCUUAGCAUAGCACCAAAUUGAGUCAGUGAGAAAAAGUUUAAAUCCCUACUAGCAAAGAACACCAAGAAAACAGUUACAACAUAAAUGCAAACUCAAAAAAUACUUGCAGCAUAUUACAAAGAGUUAAUAUUCAUACUAUGUGAGGAGCUUCUAUAAAUCAAUAAGAAGAAUGCAAAGAGCUCAGUGGAAAAAUGAACUGCCAAUGAACAGGUAAAAAUAUGAGUAAUCUCAUUAAGGCUGUAAUAAACAUUAAUGUUUUACACACACACACACACAAACACACACACAUUGCUUUGCAGGUAGGCAGAGAUGAAAAGGGUGAUAAUAUCCAUUGUUUGCAAGGAUACAGAAAAUGGUUACGUUUGUUGGCUGUUGGUGGGAUAUUGUUGCAACUUCAUUUGGAAAGUAAGUGAGCUAUAUCUGCCCAAGAGUAUGCACGCCCUCUUGUUUGUUAAAGCCAAAAAAAAAAAAAAAAAAA
rnacentral:lncRNA from 1 species